UCGACUUUACUCUUCAGGAUCUGAUAGUUCAGUCAAUAUCCAUCUGUUGUUUCCCAACAACAUUUGGCACCAAUACAUAUGGUGGACGACGACGUGCAGGACCGGCUCUGAAAAGGGAGGCGUGCUGCGUUUCUGAUCCUCCCGGAUCGAAGCCAGCAAUCGAUGAUCUUGCCCGCCCCGCUAUUCCAGGGGUGCGGCGUGGAGCCUGGUCCAUUCUGACACCA
rfam:Allomyces macrogynus ATCC 38327 genomic scaffold supercont3.21, whole genome shotgun sequence.